AACUGACUUGAUGAUGGUGCUGGUUGUGAAAGGUCAUGCGAUCACAACAGCCAAGGUUCAAAGGCAAAUAGACAGAAAAUUCCACAGUUCAGUCGGCAAGCACAAGUGUGAUUUUGUCAAGAGUCGCUGCACGAGGUUAACGUGCAUGGAUAAAGUCAACACAACUCUGACAAGCUUUGGCCUCUUGAUCCUGAAUGAACACUUGUGUUUUUGCUGUACUCCAGCAGCACUGUCUCCGUCACGAUGCCCUGAAUAAUCAAACACCUGCAAGUCCACAUUCCAGCAUCUUUAUGGCAACCUUCUUGUUCUCCGUGGUCCACACAGCUUCCCACACCUCUCCAAAGUGCCCCUCUCCCAGCUUCUUGUGGAGCUUGAACUCCUCUCGAGGUCUCUCCCACGGCUCCAUGUCGAACAGCUCCCGCUGCACAGAGAUGAGAGGUACUGUCUGUGUGUAGUUUGUACGUUUUUCUAGUUUUUCAGGAUUGUUGCAAGAUGACAGCUUUUCCCUCAGAUGAUGGAUGAGCAUAUUACCACCAUUGUGUGUAAGCCUCAGAUUCAAAGCCUCUGCUGGAAGAGAAGAAGAGGGAGGAAUCACUGAGUGGCCUCUGAUAGAAAGAUGACUCAAACACUUUUUUUUUUUAUCCAUGAGGCAAACACUGCAACUUGAUGCUCAUCUUUGAUCCAUUUCAAAAAUGUCAAAUAACAUUUAAUCCCUAAACAUCACUUGAUAUUUUUGAUGCUAGUGUCAGAGACGUGUGGUGUGUCGUUGCCGCUUUUCUUAUUUUUCAGCAAAAAAAGACACUAACAAUCCUCAUGGAGCUUAUUUGCCGAGUUGAUGAAUCAUGAAUAAAGUUUGUUGGUGGUUUAAUUUUAAGCUGUGUUGCUGAUACACUGCAUGUAAUUAAACUUUCUGAAAUAUU